rfam:TPA: Bos taurus chromosome X, whole genome shotgun sequence.
UCCCUGGUGGCUCAGAGGGUAAAGCGUCUGCCUGCAAUGCAGGAGACCUGGGUUCGAUCCCGGGGUCGGGAA